GGAUUAGAUACCCUGGUAGUCCACGCCCUAAACGAUGAAUACUAGAUGUAGGAUUUAAUUCUGUAUCGUAGCUAACGCAUUAAGUAUUCCGCCUGGGGAGUACGGUCGCAAGGCUGAAACUCAAAGGCAUUGGCGGGGACUCGCACAAGCGGUGGAGCAUGUGGUUUAAUUCGAUGCUAAGCGAAGAACCUUACCAGGGCUUGACAUGUAAGCAUAAGCUUGCGUGAAAGCGUGGAGUGAAUUUGGGCUUGCCCAAAUUGGUUUACACAGGUGCUGCAUGGCUGUCGUCAGCUCGUGCCG
rnacentral:rRNA from 1 species